rnacentral:Y_RNA from 1 species
GGCCGGUCCGAUGACAGUGGGUUAUCAGAACUUAUUAACAUUAGUGUCAUUAAAGUUGGUAUUCAACCCCCCACUGCUAAAUUUGACUGGCUUAAA